AGCAUCUUAUUGCUUUUCAGGAUUAAAUAAAAGGAAAUGAGCUGUUUAAUUACAGUCAGAGAAAUUUUGCAGUGUUGUUCUGCCUUGGAUGGUGACAGCAAUGCUGAAAUGUGUUUAAGGACACGGCUAUAUGAACUGAUGGCUUCAGAGCCCAAGUCAGCUGGAUUUUGAAGCAGCAGCGAUGCACCGUAGCCCCCAUGGAGGUUUGGAUUUUGGUGUGUUUUGGGACAAGGAAUGCAAAUCCCACUUGCUAAAUGGGAAUAGCAGUGCCCUGCUGGAAGGGGGUUCAUUUCCAGUGGGACCAGCUUUACAAUGUGUUUCCAGCAGAAAGUGAUUUGUACAACAGUGUUGCAAGCUGUCUGAGUUCCAACAAUUCUAAUAGCUUGAAAUAUGAAUAUCUAUCAAAACUAAGAUUAUCCUUUUAAAAAGAGGACUACUGCAGCAGUGCUUUGCUUUUAAAUAACAAUUCCCACAACGUGUUCCCACCUCUCCUUCCUGGUGGAGAAAUAAGGACUUGGAGGGAGGGGCUGUAAAGUCAAGGGAAACUCGAUUCAUGUCAGCUCCAUUUGGGGAACUCUCAUUUAUUUCUCCUGUGAGCCUUGGCUGGGCUGUCAGCAUCGUGCAGCCUUGCUGUGGUGAACUGUUGAGAGGCAGCACCUUCAAAGACAAUAAAUCUUUAAAAGGACAAAGGGAAGCAUUAAUGUUCUAAUUUGCUGUGCUGUUUGAGUGUUUAUUGUUCCCUGGUUUUCAGAGGAACUGGUGUUGGGAAUGCUUAUCCUGCUUUCAAAAAAAAAAAAAAAAGAUAUUUCUUAGCAUCUUUUUUGAUCAAAACAUUGGCAGAGUGUGUUUCUGGUCAGUUUAAAAGUGACUUGUGAACUGCGUGGGCAGAGGAAUAAAAGGCCACAAUAAAUUA